GACGAACGCUGGCGGCGUGCCUAAUACAUGCAAGUCGGGCGAACCAACAGGAGCUUGCUCCUGUUGGUUAGCGGCGGACGGGUGAGUAACACGUGGGCAACCUGCCUGUAAGACUGGGAUAACACCGGGAAACCGGUGCUAAUACCGGAUAAUCCUUUUCCUCUCAUGAGGGAAAGCUGAAAGUCGGUUUCGGCUGACACUUACAGAUGGGCCCGCGGCGCAUUAGCUAGUUGGUGAGGUAACGGCUCACCAAGGCGACGAUGCGUAGCCGACCUGAGAGGGUGAUCGGCCACACUGGGACUGAGACGCGGCCCAGACUCCUACGGGAGGCAGCAGUAGGGAAUCUUCCACAAUGGACGAAAGUCUGAUGGAGCAACGCCGCGUGAGCGAUGAAGGCCUUCGGGUCGUAAAGCUCUGUUGUUAGGGAAGAACAAGUACCGGAGUAACUGCCGGUACCUUGACGGUACCUAACCAGAAAGCCACGGCUAACUACGUGCCAGCAGCCGCAGUAAAAC
rnacentral:rRNA from 1 species